CAGCUGCAGUCAGACACAGUUUCUAAGAACAUGGACCUAGGAGCUCCCACUGUGGCACAACAGGACUGGCAGCAUCUCUGGAGCACUGGGACGCAGACUCGCUCCCCCGCCCUGGCGUAGCAGGUUAAGCAUCUGGCGUUGCCACAGCUACGGCUUCGGUCUGAUCUGAUCCCCGGCUCGGGAACGCCGUUUGCCACGGGGAGGCCAAAAACCAGAUAAACAAACCCUGUUCCCUAAUCUUGUCACUUCCACGUUUAAAAGCCUCUCUGACUUUCCUCUGCCUUUAGGCCGGAGCCGAGACUUCUUGCUCUGUUCCCGGACGUGCUGCACUGGCUCCUCCCUCUGCCGCCUCCGUGCUGUCUAGACGUCACACAGGCUGUUCCCUCACCCUGGGUUCUUCCCUGUCCUCUUGGCCACCUGCUCGUUUUCUCCAGGUCUCAGCCUAAAUGUCACUUCCUUGGGAACAGUGACUUUCUGGAAGCCCCGGAAAGGCCUUCACAUGUUAUCUCGUGAUCCCACGUAGUUGACGGUGCCGUUAAGAAGAAACAUUUAUUCAUGUCUCUUGGCCGUUGUGGGAGCUCUGGGAGGAGGGCACGCAAAGCUUCACAUGUGCCAGCUCUCCAGGAUGGUGCGACGAGUAGACUGAGUAGCAGUAAAUACUUUUUACUCCCGUGAACCGGUUUUUUGGCGCUUUAACUUUACUCUGGCACGAGGACCAGCCCGAUAGCCGGGACGUCCGAGGUAACGUUCCCUCUUAGGAAGCAAGCAAGCAUGUCCACGUGAGGCCUGAGAGGAGGUCCGUUCGCCCAGCUGACGUGCUGAUCACAGAGCCCUGGCGAGGCGGGGGGACCGGGUGCCUCCCUGCCAGGUGCGCCAAGGCCUCUCCCCCUCAGUGGGAGGCGGGAGAGACUGGCCAGCGCCCGGAUGGUCCCAGGCAGUGACGGCGGGUCGGGACUGGCGUCCAUGAUCUGGUGGCUUCGGGAAGAGGCUUUGAGCGCUUUCUUUUGUGACUAUGACGUAAGUGUAACUUAACUCAGAUACUAAAAGGAGAGCCGUUGGGGGGGGGGGACGAAUUUGGGAACCAUUGGAUCAAAUCGUAGUCAUUGUUUUAAUCUUUUCAUUUGCUGCUUCUGUCCCUCUUGGAGCUGUUUCCUGUGUGUCUGAAUUUCUUUCAGGUCAUCGAAGUUUCUGGACUUUGUAGCACCUGGUUCAUUUUAUCUUAGGUUACACUUUGAUCAUUUGUCUCUCGUAAGUUGCUACCAAUAAACUGUUACCUUUUACACACAGUGUUAUUUUAUGGAUCCUGUUUAAUUGGUCUGCGAAGGCCUCCUCAGGCGUCCACAUUCUCACCAUCCGUUUUUCCCUUUUCUGGCUCCUUCCACAUUGAUUUCUCUGGCUUUGGUGCCUGCACAUGUGGCAUGUCCCCCCUUUGCGCUGCAUGUGUAGUUAACGUCACAUAAUUGAGAGUAUGAGUCAGACUCAGAUGGGAGUCCCGAUUCUUCUACGUAAUGGCUGUGAGGUCCAGGCAAGUUAUUUCAAGCCUCAGUCCCUCCACUUGUACGCAGGGCAUGACAGUAGCAUCUAGCAAAUCGGAUUAUAUGCGCGUUAAAUAACCCGAACGUCCUACUCACUUCGGUACCUGCUGUGUAGUCCAGUCUCCAGGAAUAUAACUGGUGAUGACCCCAGAAAGGACCAAAAGGGCAACCAAGGAAAAAUUUAAACUCGAAGCCGCCAUUAGUGUGUCCUCGACAACAGCCGUUGGUCCAGUGCCAGCUCCGCAUCUGUACCUCAGACCUUGCCCUGGGGAACGAGUGCGCAGGGCAUCCGGGCGGCAGCGUCGCUGGUCGGGGGGGUGAGGUGGUUUAUCCCGAUCCCCAGGAGCGCUCUGCGGGCAGAACGGCGGCGUUGUCACCACCUUGCAAAUGAAGAAUUCAGGCCAAGCGGAUGAAGGGAUUGGCUCAAGGUCACACUUGAGGGCACUUCUGAUACAGGUUGGUCUAGCUCUGCCCCGUCCGUCCUUCUCCACGCGACGCCCCCGGGACCUGGAAUUCCCGGAGUCCCCCCUGGAGGAGGGUGGCCUGCUCCCUAACAAACGGAGGAGAGGACCCGGAGCCUGUGAGCGCCUCACCUCUUCUGUGGUGAGCGCUUUAUUCUGCAGGCCGUUUUCUCCUACUUUGAUCUGAAAUCCUAAGUCCGAAUAGCGCUUACACACCUUCAAGAACCACGACGUGCUGUACUGCAGGCCAAGGCCCAUGGCGGGAGGAGCCCUUGUAAUGCGAAACCCCAAAGACGGCACGUGUUGCCAGACAGAUGUUUAAGCUCUGGUAAUGGAAAUGUGUCAGCACGCACCAGUAGAGCCUUCUGUCCCAGCGUCACAUGGCAGCAUGCUGGUGGGCUUAUGGUGACAAGCCGGUCUUCAAUUUACCUGAUCCACUCAGCUGGGCUGCCACGUUGCCAUGGUUCAAGGUGGUUUGCUGAGUAUGUUCACUUCUCUCUCCUCGCCCCAAAAUGCUGCUGAAGUGACGGCAGUCAGGGAAAUGGAACGCAGACAGUAGUCUUGCUCAACAAAAGCAAAAGCAAAAGCUAAUUUCUUGUUAAAGACCAAUAACGUGGAUAAAUCUGUAUCAAGUCUGUUCAAGAAAAAAAAUGAAUAAAAAUGCAAAGCAGGCGCUUCCUUGUAGCGCCGUGGGGUAAGGAUCCAGCAUUGGCACUGGAGUAGCUCGGGUCACUGCUGUGGUGCACAUUGCAUCCCUGGCCUGGGGAACUUCCAUCCGCCCUGGGCACAGCCCCCCAAAGAGGAAAAGAAAAUGCACGGCAACAGAAAUAAGAGGGGCUCCUUAAUUAUAAAUGCAGAGAUGUAGAAAGUGACAGUAAAAGAAAUCUGGGCAUUCCCGUUGCGGCUCGGCAGGUUAAGAACCCGGCUAAUAUCCGUGAGGAUGAGUUCAGUCCCUGGCCUCAGUCAGUGGAUUAAGGAUCCGGGGUGGCCCCAGGCUGCAGCAUAGGCUGCAGACGUGGCUUGGAUCCUGCUUUGCUGUGGCAGGCUGGCAGCUGGAGCUCCAGUUUGACCCCAGCCUGAGAACUUCCAUAUGCCAUAGGAGCAGCC
ensembl:lncRNA